rnacentral:rRNA from 1 species
AACGAACGCUGGCGGCAGGCUUAACACAUGCAAGUCGAACGCCCCGCAAGGGGAGUGGCAGACGGGUGAGUAACGCGUGGGAACGUGCCCUUCGCUUCGGAAUAGCCCCGGGAAACUGGGAGUAAUACCGAGUACGCCGUAUUGGGAAAGAUUUAUCGGCGAAGGAUCGGCCCGCGUUAGAUUAGCUAGUUGGCGGUGUAAUGGACCACCAAGGCUACGAUCUAUAGCUGGUCUGAGAGGAUGAUCAGCCACACUGGGACUGAGACACGGCCCAGACUCCUACGGGAGGCAGCAGUGGGGAAUCUUGGACAAUGGGCGCAAGCCUGAUCCAGCCAUGCCGCGUGAGUGAAGAAGGCCUUAGGGUUGUAAAACUCUUUCGCCGGAGAAGAUAAUGACGGUAUCCGAAGAAGAAGCCCCGGCUAACUUCGUGCCAGCAGCCGCCGCGGUAA